UACGAAGGGGGCUAGCGUUGCUCGGAAUCACUGGGCGUAAAGCGCACGUAGGCGGAUUGUUAAGUCAGGGGUGAAAUCCUGGAGCUCAACUCCAGAACUGCCUUUGAUACUGGCGAUCUCGAGUCCGGGAGAGGUGAGUGGAACUGCGAGUGUAGAGGUGAAAUUCGUAGAUAUUCGCAAGAACACCAGUGGCGAAGGCGGCUCACUGGCCCGGGUACUGACGCUGAGGUGCGAAAGCGUGGGGAGCAAACAGG
rnacentral:rRNA from 1 species